rnacentral:rRNA from 1 species
UGGAUUAGUGGCGAACGGGUGAGUAACACGUGGGCAAUCUGCCCUUCACUCUGGGACAAGCCCUGGAAACGGGGUCUAAUACCGGAUACGACUGCGGGAGGCAUCUCCUGUGGUGGAAAGCUCCGGCGGUGAAGGAUGAGCCCGCGGCCUAUCAGCUUGUUGGUGGGGUAAUGGCCUACCAAGGCGACGACGGGUAGCCGGCCUGAGAGGGCGACCGGCCACACUGGGACUGAGACACGGCCCAGACUCCUACGGGAGGCAGCAGUGGGGAAUAUUGCACAAUGGGCGAAAGCCUGAUGCAGCGACGCCGCGUGAGGGAUGACGGCCUUCGGGUUGUAAACCUCUUUCAGCAGGGAAAAAGCGAGAGUGACGGUACCUGCAAAAAAACGCCCGGUNANUACGUGCCAGCAGCCCCGNUAAUACNUANGGCCCANGCUUUUNCCGAAUUAUUGGGCGUAAAAACCNUUANGCGCNUNUCCCCUCGNAUNGAAAACCCNAGG